CUCGUGUAAGUAUUAGUUUAUCCCCAUUGGCACUUUCCCAAAUAAUGUUCUCGUCGUUUUCCUUUUAAUUUUGCCUCUUUUUGCCAUUGAGAUCAAAGAUGCUUCCUGUUAAUUUGGCAUUUGGUUAUUGCUUAACUUCUGGCGACGAAGCACUGAAGGAAGAAAAUUCACAACUUGAAAAAAAUAACAACUAGGUUACUUUCCUGGCCUUGAAUUUUGCUUAAAUUAUGAGAGAAAAGGACUUUGGAGCAAGUGGGCCUUUCUUUUCUCUAGUCAAUUAACUUUUAAGAAUUUCUUGUUCACAUGCUUUUGCUUCACUAUUUUAUCGAGUCUAAUUUGGUUGGUAUACUAUGAGGAGGAAAGUUAGGUGUGUAUGUUUGUAUGUGCAUAUUCCCUUACUGGAGCACACUUACAACGCGUGCAUUGUGCAAUCCAAUGGUGAAUGUGCAUGAUGGGCUCGUGUGUGCACCUAGUUGCUCCCUCUGUCCCUCUGUCGGUCCGUCCACUUUGUUUUUUUGUCUAUCUUAACUCACAAGUCACUUUUUUUUUUU
rnacentral:misc_RNA from 1 species